UACGAAGGGGGCUAGCGUUGUUCGGAAUUACUGGGCGUAAAGCGCGCGUAGGCGGACAUUUAAGUCAGGGGUGAAAUGCCGGGGCUCAACCUCGGAACUGCCUUUGAUACUGGAUGUCUGGAGUUCGGGAGAGGUGAGUGGAAUUCCGAGUGUAGAGGUGAAAUUCGUAGAUAUUCGCAAGAACACCAGUGGCGAAGGCGGCUCACUGGCCCGAUACUGACGCUGAGGCACGAAAGUGUGGGGAGCAAACAGG
rnacentral:rRNA from 1 species